UACGUAGGGGGCAAGCGUUGUCCGGAAUCAUUGGGCGUAAAGCGCGUGUAGGCGGCUGAGUAAGUCUGCUCUGAAAGCCCGGGGCUCAACCCCGGGAGGCGGGUGGAUACUGCUCAGCUCGAGUCCGGAAGAGGAGUGUGGAAUUCCUGGUGUAGCGGUGAAAUGCGUAGAUAUCAAGAGGAACACCAGUGGCGAAGGCGAGUCCCUGGACAACUUCUGACGCUGAGGCACGAAAGCUAGGGGAGCAAACAGG
rnacentral:rRNA from 1 species